GCAUGGUACUAGAUAAAUUUCUAUAGUAACUAAAAAUACAACAAUAUAUACAGCGCCACCGGAAGUCGCAAUACGUAAACAACAUUGCAAAAAGUUAUGUGUGUCACCGGCGGACCAAAAUGAUAAAUAUCAAGGAUAGUGAGCAUUAACAUCUACAAAACAUUGAAGACGUUGACUAUAAAUACUAAAAGGAAUUACAAGAAGUAUGUGAAAACAGUUGCCAACACGUAAAAAUAGUGUUUUUAUUGAACAAUCGUCCCAAGUGACACAUGGGUUCUACUGCGCAUGUCAAUACAUUUCAUUCAUAAAAUUCAAGCACAGGUGCGUGGAAUUUACUACAGUUGCUUAAAUUGGAUUAUCACAAAAAUACAAGACAUUUGGCUUCCAAAAUCAACAUAUAAUGACAGAUAGAUGUAAUCAUAGAAUGCAUAGAUUUUACAAUACAGAGAAGUUAUGAUUAUCGAUUUUUAAUCAACUGAAAGUUAAAAUUGGAUUCAACCAAGCAUGAUGACCGCAUACCCUAAUUUGCAGACGACACCUAUUUGUGGAUUAUACAGUGGAUUAUUACUGUGAACUGGUAAAUUAUAACAUGAACUUCAAAUAGUUUAAUCAAAUAUACAAAUGACAUGCAAUUCAAUAUUUCUACAAGAAUCAUAAUACUAUAAUUGUUCUAACUUUACUUUAUUAAAUGUUAAUUAAAACUUAUUUGCUUCAAUUAUCAUAUGUUCCAGACUACAAGCAUUACAAGUAGUAUAAUACAAGUUAUUUCACACAGUUACUGUUUCCUACAUCAUAACUUACAUAAAAAAAAUACAGAAUAUUAGACAGUAUGCUUUAUUAAUACCAAUUUAAAACAUACAUCAAAAAAUUCUUACAUGUCUAUCACACGUCAUAAUAAAAUACAUGAAAAUACAUGUACCCUAGUCGCCGUACUGUACAUUUUACCCCCUUUCCAUUAUUUGCGUCCCCGCAAAUACUUUAAACUUUUGCAAAAGAUUCCAUUUCAAAUUUUCUAUGUCUUGAAUACAUAUUCUUCUUAAAAAGAAAUUAUUUCUAAAACUGGAUGAAAUUAGCUUUCUUAUUAAUACAAUCUAUGAUUGUAACACAAAUACAUCAUAAUAUAAUACCAAAUAUGUAAAAAUUAUACAUAAUUAUCAUGAUUAUUUUCUUUUUAUAUUAUAUUUUACAGAUACACCUGAAGUUUCACCAUUAUGACCAUCAGCACGAGGGCAGUAGAUAUCAAACAGACAUAUAUAUGUACCAAAUGUGGAAAAUUACUGAACGUUAUGAACAAACUGGAACAUGGCUAAGAACCAGAGGUUUCUGAAGGAAAAUUUUAGUUAUCAUGCAAACAGUACCAAAAUAUUUAAAUAUAAGUUCAAAAAUACACCCAA
rnacentral:lncRNA from 1 species